UAUAAGAUUCAAAUUAUCAAGCUGAAAUUCUAUUGCCCCUUGGUAUUCAAACUGAAAUUACUUAGAAUCCAAGAGAGGAGUGGAGAACAUGGUCAAGGCUCAAAAGUUCAGAAGACUCUGAGGCAGCAGCAGAGGAGGGAGCAGAUUUCCAGCAUCGUCUGCCUCGCUGAUUUUGACAAUCAGCCAAUGGUGAAACAGCUAAUACUCGAAAUUAUUUUCUAUGUUCUCACGGCAGCAACUACAUGCGUGGUCUUGACAACUCCCAGAUGUCCUCCGGUCAGUCGCCAAGCCUUGGCUUGCUCAGCACGAAUUCCAGCUCCUGUUUAAUGCGCUAGGAAGUACAACUAGCAGUCAAUCAGCAACUUUCUGAUGUCCACUCUCUGGCCAAGGAAAUGCGUUCCUGGAUCUGUCAUUUCCGCCGGUUGUUAUCUUGCUCCAAUUUCGUGACUAAGGUAGUGUGAUUCUAGAAUGAGUGACCAAAUUGCCCGGAAUUGUGGUAUGUCACAGACGGAACUCCUGUAAG
rnacentral:lncRNA from 1 species